UUACGGUUUUGGGUAUGCUCCAUGCCUGUUCUCAUUUGGUACCGGGCCACUGGUUCCAGUCUGUGUCGUGAAAGCUGAAUUUAGUCCAGCAAAGCAGUUAAAAUAUUCAUUACGAGGCUUGGCACCUUUAAAACUCUCCUCUCCCUGUGUACUGUCAAUAAUUGCUCACUCCAGGCAGAGAGCUCUGGGAUGGCAAUUCUCCAGACAGGGUCUCAAAUGAAGAAGGCGCUAACAAAAGUGAGUCAGGCUCACAGAAAUAGCUCACAUCAGAGCGCGCUUCCACACAGGCGUGCUGCUGGCAGCCCGGUGAUUAGCACAAGCAGCAAGGAGCACAGUUUGCUAAACAUGUAAAAUUGGGGCUGGAGCGCCGAGUGAAACACGAGGGAAAUGACUCUAAGUGGAACAGAAAGGCAGUUUGUUUAAACAGCAAGUUAUUGAUUACUGCGCAGCGAUCGGCAGAGCCGCCGGCUGGGGUACGGGUGGUGGAGGUUCCCAGGAGCCCGGGCAGCAGCUCUGGGGGGCCACAACCACGGCACCCACCUCCCGGCACCCGGUCCUGUCCCUGCUCGGGGUGGUGGGGCUGGGGGCCAGCGCUCAGCACCCUCCGUGCCCCCAGCCUGUUCCUCUGUGCGGCUCUCCUGGUGCACCCAGAUGGCUGUCAGUGCUCGCGGACACUUGACUGUGAUGGACUUCAGACAGGUGUCACACUCGGUGCUUGUGCAGAGUGGAUCCUUACCGGUACGGACCCACUGCAAUUACGCUUAGCCAAGCAGGGAUGCUCCCAGCAGCUGACAGAGGCAAGUUGUGUUUGUUAUUACAAAUAACAGCCUCCCACCGAGCAUUUGGCAGAUGGGGCUUUGGGCAGGGGGCAGCCUCCAGGUGGGGGCUGUACAAAUCCAGCCUGCCCUGGGGAGGAGGGACAGGGACACCACCCCGGGGCAGCGGGGAUGGGGUGCGGGAUGUGCUCAGCAAAGCCAGUCCUAGAGACCUUAAUGCUCAUCGUUUUAGGAUUGCUAUGAGCUCAUUAGCCUCUGCUGGCCAGAACAGACAUUUUUCUUUCCCUCACGUGGGCUGCUUUCAAUAUUGGAGUGAGGCAGGCAUGAAACCAGCGCUCACCAGCCCUAGAGCCCAGAGAUCGUUUGAACUAAUAGGGAACAGCUGCAGGUUUGGCUGGGGACGGGCAUGUGGGCAUUUCCAGGUGCAGCUCAUUUGUGGCUGAAGACCUGCCUACAAAAUGGAGCCAAUGCACUGGAGAUCUGCUUGGAGGGCAGCCCAAUUCGCACACCCUUUGCAGCUCAUGCACACUGCAGCCGUGAUGCUCGCCAGCACCCACAGGGCUGCAGGACCCGUGCUCAAUGGGGCUUUUACGGGGUCUAACGAGCUCCACGGCCUCAGCGAGCCUCUGCCUGCUGCUGCCUUCCAGGCCUGCUCCGUGCUCAUGCACUUCUGGCAUCUCUCUGCUUAAAUGUCCCUGACCAGAAUUCACUGGCACUCAGACUAGUCCUAAAAGCCUUGGCAGCAGUAACUGCAGCAAGGAAUAAUAAUGCCAGGGAAACAUCGGGAGCAGACCCGAGGGCACGCUCCAUGCUUGUGCAGACAGUGAAGUCAGUGCCUGACCGGAGGAGGAGAAUCAAUUAAAACUUCCAGCUCCAUUAGCAGCUGCAAAGGGCAGAGCCAGGAGCAGUCAGAAGAAGCCCCUCUGCACCCACAGAUGCUGAGGACAGCGAUGAAAUGCCAUUUUCCAGCCAGCUGGAUCGAGCCUGAAAGCACAGAGGGACACAAACCAGCUGCUCCCCGUCCCCCAAUGGUGUCGGCUGCCCAGGACACCGGGAACCUCUUGCUGGUUAUUCUGAUUUUUUUUAUUUUUUAUUUUUUUUUCUACCCUCCCUUUGCUGUUUUUAGCAGACGAGAUGUCCCAGGUGUGGCUCUGCAUCUGGGGGCACACAAAGCUGCUGGCGUUGUUCCUGCAUCCUCUCAGCUCCGUUUCUGCAGGGAUGGAGGCUCCGCUGUGCGUCCCUCCUCCAGGAGCUGCCGUGUCCUGCUCCUGCAGCGCUCGCCCGUGCCCCAGCAUCACCCGGCUGCCCCUCAGCACACUCCAGGCAGCGCCACGAGCAUCAUCAGCAGCUGCUGGCAAAACACGCGAGCCCUUUGCUGCUAACAGAGGAAUUGCACGGGGCUUGAAGCAGAACAAAUGUUCCCGUGGUGCUGGCAGCACGUCCUGGCUGUGACACUGGAUUGGGAGCAGAGGGGUCGGCUCUGGUCAGAUCCUGGUGUGCUGAAAUGGGGAGGCACAGGAGAACUCACCCCAAAACCAGAGCAGUCGGGACGAGAAGCAGCCCGCUGUGCACAGCCCAAACUGUUCCGCUGCGGGUCGGCUACGUGGAAGAGUAUUCCUCCUUAAUGCAACGUGCAAUUAGAGAGCGUAAGUCACAGCCCAAAGAUUUUAUUGAGCCAGAGGAUUAGGCAGUUGCAUGAGUAAUGAGGCUGGCCGGGGCUGUGGCAGCCAGGUGGCUCCAGGAGGAUGCGGUGCCUCGGGGAUCAGCCGCAGCCCAGCUCCGCACCCCACAGCGCACAUGGGGGGUUUGGGGGUGAGCCCCCAGCCCCAGGCAGCACAGUGCGAGCUGUGACCAGCCCCGAACCAGCAGGGGACCUGCAAAGGCACCGCUCCUGCAGCUUCUGUCUUCUGUGGCCCCCUUGCAAAUCCCAGGCAAUGGGGCAAAGGCGAGAAGAAUUUAUCCUGUGAGGAAACCUCUGCUGGACAAUACAAACAUAAACAACAGACCUGAGGGAUCUUUCCCUUACCUUUGAUUUACAGACCGGCCUCCACAGAAUUAAAAUCCCUACUCUCAUUCAAAACACAUUCUUCCUUCUUGCCUCUCAUUGAAGGAAUUGAAAGAAAGCCUAAAUCCUGUGUACUUUAAAAACACAAAGGACUGAAGAGCCUGGCAAAGCAAUCUGGUGUGUGGGGAAACUGGUGCAUGAACAUCUCUGGUCUGGUGACAGUAAAAAUCACUUCUAAGUGUCUGAGCCGCUAACAACGCUGUGUUUCUCGGCCUCAAGGCACCGCGUCCGUCACACAAAACGCUGGCACUGACCUCUGCUCGCUCUGGCAUAACGCGGGGAGCCCCACGGGGCCAAGAACAGGGCUCUGCGUCCCCACAAGGCUCAGCCUGCCCCCGGCGAUGCCACCCGUGCUCAGCAGAAGGGACCACAGCUCGAAGCGGUGCCGUGCGGACCCCAGGCAGCACCAGGCUCGGAGCUGGCACCAGGGAGAACAGUGAGGUGAGGCCAGAGCCCCUGGACCCCCCCAAACCUUUCCCGUGGGUGGUGAGAAAAAUGCUCUUGCAGCCCCUUCUGCCUUGGAAUGAAAAGCUCUUUUGCGGAGAUUAAAAUGAAUUUAAUUAUUUCCACAGUCUGGUAUUUACAUCGCGUCUGCAGCAGGUACGGCGUGCCCCGUCACCGAAACGCCCCCGUGGCCAGCCCGGCAGCGGCACCACGGGGUCCCCGGUGCCCCCCAGCUGCAGGGCCGGGGACACGGCGUGUCCUGGAGGCCGAGCAGGGUGCACAUAUCGUUGGGUUGGAUCAAUACAACGAUGCCUGGCUCGGGCUGGGCUCCGGACAGCUUUGCACCACGGCCGGUGUGACAGACCUCACAGGCAGGAGGGGAUCCCCCUCCCUUCCUUCUGGGACUGAUUGCGGACAUGAGCAGUAAUUUGGUGCCUGGGACGUGCACUGGGGGAACUGAUAUUAAACUGGCAGCCUGAUUAAUGCAAUUACAGAGGAAGGAAAAACCAGCAGCAUGCUCCACGGAAACACUUUUACCAUCUCCGGUGCCGGAGGUGUCGGACGGCGCCAGCCACGCCGGGGCUGCAGGGCCAGCACCGUGCUGCCACAACCAGCCUCUGAGCUCCUGGUGGUGACCCUGAUUUGGGAUCCUGGAGAUGGGGUAACUCCUGUGACUCCUGCAGCAAUGAUUUUCGCUAUUUUAGCUGAGAUUAAAGCCCGGUUUGGGGGACCGUUGUUCGUCUUUGUAACCAUCAACAGCUCUUACAUGAUCGGAGCAUUUUAUUUAAGAGGACGGGAGAAUGAGCCCAUUCCUUGGUCGGUGAGCACGUCCAUGGGGGAGAAGGGGGCCGUGGAGCAGCAGGAGUCUUGCAGCUGCCUUCAGGGCCCCAUUCUUGCAGCCUGGACGGGAAGCUGGGUGGCAGCAGUUGCUCCAAACCCGUACCUGGCAUGGUCCGACGGCGGCACGGGACGCAGGACGGGAAGCACCACAGCACGCCGCCCCCUGGGCACGGCACGGGCGAUGCAGCGGGGACCCCCACAGGGGUGCUAUCGGGUGACCUGUGGGCAGAGGGGACAUGUCGGGCUGGUGCCAACCCCUGGCUGCCUCGUGGCACCUCGGUGACACCAAGAGCAAGGUCUGUGAUGGGGUCUCCAGAGGCCACGUCCCACCUCCCCCAGCAGCAGAUUACCCAUGGGGGACAUGUGCCCCUUUCUUUUCAUGUCUGAAACAUUUUUCCUGAAGAACUGUUUUUUUUGGUGUUGUCUUUGCUAAUGGGAAUGGUCAAUUUGUUGGCAGUGGGCAGUUGACCUAACGCAGCAGCUGAUGCUGGAUGCAGGAAUUACGUGAGCAGCCUCAGCGGGUGCAAAUGCGAAUUGCUCUUUGCGUUGGACAGGGUGGUUGUUCCAAAGUUCAGCUCCUGAAUUAUUUGCGAGCCCCUUGCUCUGGUGACAGCUCCCACUUUGGGGUCUGUCUGCACAGGCAGGCUUCGGGCUCAGUUAGCAGCUGAGAAAAACAAAUAAAUAGUACAAAGAAGGGGAAAAGACAAAGAGCUAAAAGUCACGCUGCAAUUACUGGUCAGUCAAAGGUGCCCAGGCCAGAGCAACCUUCUCAGACAUCCACAAAAACACUUGAGCAGGAAAGUGCUUUUGUGCUCCAAAAUAAUAGCAAUAAUGAAAAAAAACUCCCACAUCACUUUUUUAAUACGAUAAUUUUACAGCAGGGGAUGUGGGGUGAGAAAAGCUAAAGCAUAAGGAAUAAUUACACUCGACUAUACGAACAAUGAUUACAAAAUUAUGCAACUGAUUAACCAUGACAUGUGUGUAAUUACUAAUGAGUUUGAUAAAAUUUUAAUUAUACCUUGUUCUUUGGGGCAUUCAGCAAGCCAUGAAAAUAAUAAUCAUGUAGCUCCCUGUCACAGCUGACUGCCGCAGACGGGGCG